AGAGCGAACGCUGGCGGCAGGCCUAACACAUGCAAGUCGAACGGACUCUUCGGGGUUAGUGGCGGACGGGUGAGUAACACGUGGGAACGUGCCUUUAGGUUCGGAAUAGCUCCUGGAAACGGGUGGUAAUGCCGAAUGUGCCCUUCGGGGGAAAGAUUUAUCGCCUUUAGAGCGGCCCGCGUCUGAUUAGCUAGUUGGUGAGGUAAAGGCUCACCAAGGCUACGAUCAGUAGCUGGUCUGAGAGGAUGACCAGCCACAUUGGGACUGAGACACGGACCCAAACUCCUACGGGAGGCAGCAGGUGGGGAAUCGUUGCGACAAGUGGGACG
rnacentral:rRNA from 1 species